CUUCGGGCACCGUUCAUCUCGGCGCGCCGAGCGCGCGCUAGCUGAUCGCGCAGGGAUGUCGGGCGCGCCG
rnacentral:pre_miRNA from 1 species